CACUGUUUAUUAAGCAUGGCCGGGCUGCCUGCAGAUAAUACUAACAGGCAACCAGGCAGAAAGUCGUUCAGACACAUUCGGCCAAAUCCUCAGCUGAUGCAAAUUGGCACGAAUGCAAUGGAGUGACCUCGAUUUACACCAGUUGAUGGUCUGCCUCACGGUGUGUGGAGUCCCUUUGGCAUUGUGGCGAGGGCCGGGGAAGGACGUCACAGAGCCGAUGUGCAGCUCCUAGGACAAUGGUGCCACCAGCCAGUUGGCAGUAGGUGGCACAUCAAUAUAAAUCUUAAAGAACAACAACAAUGGAAAGCAAUGGCUCUGCUCCAGGAUCGAGGUGCUACACAGCAGGAGUGAAGGAAAUAAAACCACAGCUUGUUUUUCGGGGCAAACCAUCUGCUGACAAACCCAGGAAAGAGCAACAUUCCCAGCUGAGCGAGAUGCUCAUUUCUAGGCCAAGGGGGAGUGUGAAUGCUCAUGUCGGAGACUUCCCAUCCGUCUGGCCUAUUAAAUCAGACGUUGCAGCACAGUCCAAGAAAGGCUGUCGGGACGCUGACGCUUCUUUGUGUGAGGUGAAAUGCUGAAGAGAGUUAUGAAUGUUAUUGCCUCCGUAACCAGAGAAAACACCUUUGUGGCCUCUGCAUUUGGGGACAGCAGGCCAAGGAAGGAAUUAUUCUGGCUUUCAUUUUCUAAGUACAAUUUUUAAAGCAGAUUUAAACAGCCAUGUAACACCAGACAUCUUCUCUCAGGGUACUGGUAAAAGAAGGCGCCAUCCUACAGCAAGGUGAAGCAAAGGAGCUCUCUGGAGUUCCUGACCAUGGGCAUGUGAGAGAAUUGUGCCGUCUUCAGAAAGUAGAGUGAACUUCUAGGGGGCUCCUCACUGCCAUCCCCAGAGGGUUUUGGAAAGUGGACCAGACUCUCCUUUCCAAGAAUAAUCACCUCUCUCAUCGGUGGGCAUGGUGGUAUCUAUCUGCUAAUGCACAUCCUGUCUGCAUAUUGAGCAGGAAGCAAAGCUCCAUCAGGACCACAUACUGAUCACUUGAUUUAUUCCUCUCACUUCCCGCCCCCAUAUGUGGCCAGACAGCAGAACCUCCAGAUUAAUCGUGGAGUGGCCUUUUCAUAGAGCUUCCUGUCUGCUCGCUCCUCACAAUGCCCCUACUGUCUGGCUUGAUUGCCUCGUACACGCUUACUGGAAUCAUCUUUCCAUUCUGAGCCAGGCUUUUCCCCCAGCUGGUGUAGCCAUCAGAUCUCUCUGAUGUUUGUUUUGUGAUCCCGGUUUGGAUCCCAAAGUUGUGCGAAAAAGGAACAGCUGCAGCUUGUGUUAUUUUGGCCAAUAGAGUUUAUUCAAUGACACGUCUGCAAUCCCAGUUUUAGAUUUAAAAAAAAAAAAAAAAAAAAAAAGAUUGCAAUGGGGAGGUAAUUAUUAGCUUAAUUGGCUUCUUUGAUAGCUUCAUUGAGAUAGCUUCUUUAGUACAUUUAAUGACAAGGAAAUUCAGUUAGCAAAUGGACAACAUUAGGGACUGGGUGUCUCUAUCUAGAGUCAAAACUAGUAAAUUAGAAACACUACUUUCAUUUGAAAUGAGGCAGUGUCGUGUAGUGGGUAGAGCACAGGAUUCGGGGUCAGGAGAUCCAGCUCUGCCACUAAGCUGCUGUGUAACCUUGGACACGUCACUUCCUGUCUUUGUUUCUCCUCCCACCUUAUUGAAGUUCCUUCGGGCCGGAACUGGUUUUAUUGCACCUAGCACAGUGCGGCACGGAUCUCAGUUAGAGCCUUUAGGCACCACCAUAAUGAUAAUAAAGCUGGAUAAUUUAUAUUAUUGCUUUUCCUUUGCAUUUAUACAACCGCCAAGUUUUGCAGGUAAAUAGUAACAAAUUCACACACGAGCUCAUUUCAGAUGAAGAUAGUGGAACUGUGCAGGCAGAGAUGGACUUUUUCCAGCAGCUUUGAAUAAAUUCAUUGGUAUGGCACAGAACACUCAAUGACCACCAUAUUUUAACAUCACCCUGUAUUUGGGUUUUUCCCCCACUUACUUUUGUGCCAAUAUGAACUACAAAUGAAGAUUGCAUGUCCAAAUGGUUGACUGCUUUGCGUUGAGAAAGAAGUGGGAGAUUUCCUUUUAGCGUAGACACGAAUUUGUUAAUCACAUGAAGGCUAACAUGGAAAAAACAGGUGUUAUUAAUCAGUAGUCAGUGCAAGUGAAGAUGUGUUUGCUAGACCUAUCAAGACUAAUUAUGUAGUUGCAUUCAAUAAAAGUGCCUGUCAGCACAACAAAGCCACAGCUUACAUAUAUCAUACAUAGUCCUACAGAUCAGUUACUUGGAGAAGACUGUGUAGGACCACCCAACUAUCAAACAUACUGAAGAGUCCAGUUUUCCACUGUCCAGUGAGAGAAUCCAAUAUUUCUGAUACCCAUUUUCCUGAGGGAGGUCUCAUUUCACAGGUUUUGAUUUUGUUGAUUUGCUGUUGCCAGAGGGAACCUCUAUUGACUUAGAAGUAUUUUUCCUUUGAAGACCAACAAAAAAAGAAACCUACCACAUGCCACAGCGCGUGGUUCUGCAAAUGCAAUUGCAUCAAGAAACCAUUGGAAAGACCACAUGCUUUGGGAACCAUCAAAUGGGUUCCACUUUAGCAAAUACUUUGCUGUAUUAAGGAAAUUAGUUUUGAGAAUGGACUUCAUAACUAUGAUGCAUUCUUCCUUGGACCAAAUGGCAUGCAGAGGAGAUGAUAGUGCAAUAUUACUAGGUACUCAAGAUCUUUUAUUAUAAAUCUAUAGCAAUCCAGCUAGUCUCUGAAUACAUUAAUUUUGUAAAUGUCCUAUAAUAGUAAUUGUGAAAGCCUCUUAUAAUUUUGUAAACUGAGUUUUGUCCUAAUCAGGAAGUAUUAUUUUCCCUUCCAUUGCACCGAUCUUUACUCAUCAUACUAAUAACAUUGUAUUUAAAUUUCAUUAUGCCACCAAUUGAAAGGAUAAAAUGUAAUGUUUACCCCGUAACGUUUUAAGUCUGGCUUGUAAGUAGAUCAUUUUUUCCCCUCGCACAAAUAUAAUUAGCAUUGAACUUGGUGCACUUAUGCCAGGGAGAUUGUCAUAUUGAAAAGUCCUUGCAAAAAAUAAUUAUAUCAGGAGGUUACAAUCGUAGCAUGUAAAAA